GCGGGUGUGGUGUAAUGGCAGCCACAUCGGACUUAAAAUCCGAAGCUAGAAAUAGCGUGCGGGUUCGACUCCCGCCACCCGCACCA
rnacentral:tRNA from 1 species